rnacentral:rRNA from 1 species
GACGAACCGAGCGAACGUUAUUCGGAAUCACUGGGCUUAAAGGGCGCGUAGGCGGGCCGUCAAGUCGAGGGUGAAAUCCCCCAGCUCAACUGGGGAAGUGCCUCCGAUACUGGCGGCCUCGAGGGGGAUAGGGGCAUGCGGAACUUCCGGUGGAGCGGUGAAAUGCGUAGAUAUCGGAAGGAACACCGGUGGCGAAAGCGGCGUGCUGGAUCCCUUCUGACGCUGAGGCGCGAAAGCCAGGGGGAGCGAACAGG